CCUACGGGAGGCAGCAGUGAGGAAUAUUGGUCAAUGGGCGCGAGCCUGAACCAGCCAAGUAGCGUGAAGGAUGACUGCCCUACGGGUUGUAAACUUCUUUUAUAAAGGAAUAAAGUGAGGCACGUGUGCCUUUUUGUAUGUACUUUAUGAAUAAGGAUCGGCCAACUCCGUGCCAGCAGCCGCGGUAAUACGGAGGAUCCGAGCGUUAUCCGGAUUUAUUGGGUUUAAAGGGAGCGUAGGUGGGUUGUUAAGUCAGUUGUGAAAGUUUUCGGCUUAACCGUAAAAUUGCAAUUGAUACUGGCAGGCUAGAGGACAGUUGAGGUAGGCGGAAUUCGUGGUGUAGCGGUGAAAUGCGUAGAUAUCACGAAGAACUCCGAGUGCGAAGGCAGCUUACUAAACUGCCACUGACAUUGAUGCUCGAAAGUGUGGGUAUCAAACAGGAUUAGAUACCCUGGUAGUC
rnacentral:rRNA from 1 species